rnacentral:rRNA from 1 species
UACGAAGGGGGCUAGCGUUGCUCGGAAUCACUGGGCGUAAAGGGUGCGUAGGCGGGUUUUUAAGUCAGGGGUGAAAUCCUGGAGCUCAACUCCAGAACUGCCUUUGAUACUGAAGAUCUCGAGUCCGGGAGAGGUGAGUGGAACUGCGAGUGUAGAGGUGAAAUUCGUAGAUAUUCGCAAGAACACCAGUGGCGAAGGCGGCUCACUGGCCCGGUACUGACGCUGAGGUGCGAAAGCGUGGGGAGCAAACAGG